CUUGCUUUUUUUAAGUUUUUUUUUUAGAUUAAUAACAAUUACAUGACUUCGUUUUCAACGCUUUUUCUUGCUUUCACCACCCUUAUUUGAAUCUCUUUUCCUUUUUGCUGAUCCUUUGCUCUUUGUAUCUACAGGUUUUUUGGGAGAAGAAGGGACUGGUUUAAAAAAGGAAUCAAGACGACCCUGUGGAAUUGUCUUUGAGGCUUUUUCUAGUCUAUUGAUCCCCAAUUUAACACGAUCUUCAUUGAAACCUUUUUCCUUAACCAGAAAUUGUAUAAUGCCAUCUGCAUCGGGACUUUUCCAUUUCAACUCAAUCUCUUCACCAGGAAGUACUUCUGCAUCCAAAAACAGUCUUCUGGCAUCUUCAUAAGGCCAAUCUUCCGGAAUAGGAUAUUUUGAUCGAUCCGCCUCUUUGACAAAGCGAUCGAGAGUCCCGUAUUGCCUAAUUAACUCGACGGCUCUAGCGGGGCCAACUCCCCGAAUAGGUUCACAAUAGUCACAACCCAAAAGAAUACACAAGUCUACAAACUGCUCCACCGACAUAUCUAAACCAUUCAAUGCUUUUUCUAUGUUAUACUCACUAAUUGGUUCCUUUCUUUGCUCACUAAAUGUCAGGUGUCUCAAAAGUACAGGAGCUUGGAAGCACAAUGUGUCCAUGUCCUCAGAAGCAGCAGCAUAAACUUUUCCUGAACGGGCUAAAGCGGCACAUUGAGCUUCUGCUUCACAGGGUGCGUUAACGAAGGGAAUUCCCAUUAACUCUAGUAAACGUUUUGCUUCGUCAUUAUGUUGCCGAGUAACUUUGACCGUACGUUUGGCAAACCGAUCCACCAUUUCAGCUGUACCAACCUCUUUUGUCUCCUCUUGAUCCUCUCGUGCUUUUUGAUGUCGGGCCACACGUUUAGCUAAUUCCCCUGACUUCAAUGUUGGUGGUUUUCCAUCAAAGACAAAGCAAGGCUUUAUUCCAUUAUCGACAAUUCGGAGUGUACGAUAAAACAUUCCCAUUAAAUGACUAGUAGUCUCGCCUUGUUCAUUCAUUAGCUGUUGACCAUCUUGACUGCGAACUUGAAUUAAAAAUUGAUAAAGACUCAUUGACCUGUAAUAUACGAAAUUAGCAUUAAUAAAGUACCUCAAGAAGACUUUAUAAAUCAACCCUUCGAAAAGGAAAGAAUCAGUUGAAUAGAGUUUGACCUAUUAGUGUUUGCAACUUCAAGAACCAACAAAGUAAAGAAAUGAUGUAAAAUACCUUGAGCAAUGAAUUUAACCGAGUCACUGUUAGUGAAAAUUUAUUC